UAGUGGUCAAUAAAGUGGAGGCCCUCUCUGAGACAGAACUAGAAAGUGCUUCCACUUUGUGUGCCCCUGUGUGGG
rnacentral:miRNA from 1 species